CAGUCGCCGCGGUAAUGCGUAGGGUGCAAGCGUUAAUCGGAAUUACUGGGCGUAAAGCGUGCGCAGGCGGUUAUAUAAGUCAGAUGUGAAAUCCCCGGGCUCAACCUGGGAACUGCAUUUGAGACUGUAUGGCUAGAGUGUGUCAGAGGGGGGUAGAAUUCCACGUGUAGCAGUGAAAUGCGUAGAUAUGUGGAGGAAUACCGAUGGCGAAGGCAGCCCCCUGGGAUAACACUGACGCUGAGGAGCGAAAGCGUGGGGAGCGAACAGGAUUAGAUACCCGAGUAGUCCCUGUCUCUUAUAC
rnacentral:rRNA from 1 species